AGAUACUAAGGUGCUUAAGAAU
rnacentral:piRNA from 1 species